GUGGGGAAUCUUCCGCAAUGGACGAAAGUCUGACGGAGCAACGCCGCGUGAACGAUGACGGCCUUCGGGUUGUAAAGUUCUGUUAUACGGGACGAAUGGUACGACGGCCAAUACCCGUCGUAAGUGACGGUACCGUAAGAGAAAGCCACGGCUAACUACGUGCCAGCAGCCGCGGUAAUACGUAGGUGGCAAGCGUUGUCCGGAAUUAUUGGGCGUAAAGGGCGCGCAGGCGGCGUCGUAAGUCGGUCUUAAAAGUGCGGGGCUUAACCCCGUGAGGGGACCGAAACUGCGAUGCUAGAGUGUCGGAGAGGAAAGCAGAAUUCCUAGUGUAGCGGUGAAAUGCGUAGAUAUUAGGAGGAAUACCAGUGGCGAAAGCGGCUUUCUGGACGACAACUGACGCUGAGGCGCGAAAGCCAGGGGAGCAAACGGGAUUAGAUACCCGGGUAGUCC
rnacentral:rRNA from 1 species